rnacentral:rRNA from 1 species
AUUAGACGAAUCAUCUGGAAAGAUGAAUCAAAGAAGGUAAUAAUCCUGUAGUCGAAAAUGUUGUCUCUCUUGAGUGGAUCCUGAGUACGACGGAGCACGUGAAAUUCCGUCGGAAUCUGGGAGGACCAUCUCCUAAGGCUAAAUACUCUCUAGUGACCGAUAGUGAACCAGUACCGUGAGGGAAAGGUGAAAAGCACCCCGGAAGGGGAGUGAAAUAGAACCUGAAACCGUGUGCUUACAAGUAGUCAGAGCCCGUUAAUGGGUGAUGGCGUGCCUUUUGUAGAAUGAACCGGCGAGUUACGAUUUGAUGCAAGGUUAAGCAGUAAAUGUGGAGCCGUAGCGAAAGCGAGUCUGAAUAGGGCGUUUAGUAUUUGGUCGUAGACCCGAAACCAGGUGAUCUACCCUUGGUCAGGUUGAAGUUCAGGUAACACUGAAUGGAGGACCGAACCGACUUACGUUGAAAAGUGAGCGGAUGAACUGAGGGUAGCGGAGAAAUUCCAAUCGAACCUGGAGAUAGCUGGUUCUCUCCGAAAUAGCUUUAGGGCUAGCCUCAAGUGAUGAUUAUU